GACGAACGCCUGGCGGCGUGCUUAACACAUGCAAGACAAACGAGAACCCGCGGAACGAGGCCCCGCCCAAGCGAAGCAGGGGACAGUGGCGGAACGGGUGAGUCAACGCGUGAGGAAACCCUGCUCUUUCAGAGGGGUACAACAGUUGGAAAACGACUGCUAAUACCGCACGACACAUCGAAGUCGCAUGGCCUUGACGUCAAAGAUUUAUCGCUGAAAGAAGGCCUCGCGUCUGAUUAGCUAGUUGGUGAGGUAACGGCCCACCAAGGCGACGAUUCAGUAGCCGGACUGAGAGGUUUGAACGGCCACAUUGGGACUGAGAUACGGCCCAGACUCCUACGGGAGGCAGCAGUGGGGAAUAUUGGGCAAUGGGCGCAAGCCUGACCCAGCAACGCCGCGUGAAGGAAGAAGGCUUUCGGGUUUGUAAACUUCUUUUGUCAGGGACGAGAAGAAGACGGUACCUGACGAAUAAGCCACGGCUAACUACGUGCCAGGCAGCCGCGGUAAUACGUAGGUGGCAAGCGUUGUCCGGAUUUACUGGGUGUAAAGGGCGUGUAGCCGGGAGGGCAAGUCAGAUGUGAAAUCCACGGGCUCAACUCGUGAACUGCAUUUGAAACUACUCUUCUUGAGUAUCGGAGAGGCAAUCGGAAUUCCUAGUGUAGCGGUGAAAUGCGUAGAUAUUAGGAGGAACACCAGUGGCGAAGGCGGAUUGCUGGACGACAACUGACGGUGAGGCGCGAAAGCGUGGGGAGCAAACAGGAUUGGAUACCCUGGUAGUCCACGCUGUAAACGAUGAAUACUAGGUGUGCGGGGACUGACCCCCUGCGUGCCGCAGCUAACGCAAUAAGUAUUCCACCUGGGGAGUACGAUCGCAAGGUUGAAACUCAAAGGAAUUGACGGGGGCCCGCACAAGCGGUGGAUUAUGUGGUUUAAUUCGAAGCAACGCGAAGAACCUUACCAGGGCUUGACAUCCUACUAACGAAGUAGAGAUACAUCAGGUGCCCUUCGGGGAAAGUAGAGACAGGUGGUGCAUGGUUGUCGUCAGCUCGUGUCGUGAGAUGUUGGGUUAAGUCCCGCAACGAGCGCAACCCCUAUUGUUAGUUGCUACGCAAGAGCACUCUAGCGAGACUGCCGUUGACAAAACGGAGGAAGGUGGGGACGACGUCAAAUCAUCAUGCCCCUUAUGUCCUGGGCUACACACGUAAUACAAUGGCGGUCAACAGAGGGAUGCAAAGCCGUGAGGUGGAGCGAACCCCUAAAAGCCGUCCCAGUUCAGAUCGUGGGCUGCAACCCGCCCACGUGAAAGUCGGAAUCGCUAGUAAUCGCGGAAUCAGCAUGCCGCGGUGAAAUACGUUCCCGGGCCU
rnacentral:rRNA from 1 species